UGGAAAACGGCGUUUCUUUGCAACAGCUUGUCUCAAAGUUGGUGGCCUUCAGUCAGGGCUUAUCUGUAUGACAACACCACUUCUGCCCUGAUCUUCCUAAUACCAUCACUGUAAUUGCCUUGACAUGAAAUAGCACCAACCCAGCGCUCGGGCUUUGAGGGUAAGAAACGACCAGAACUGAAGGCUUCUAGAUGGCUGUGUUGCAAAUGUUACUCUUGAAUUGAAGCAUUUUGAAUUUGGGCCAUUCU